rnacentral:misc_RNA from 1 species
GAUGAAGAACGCAGCGAAAUGCGAUACGUAAUGUGAAUUGCAAAUUCAGUGAAUCAUCGAGUCUUUGAACGCACAUUGCGCCCCCUGGUAUUCCGGGGGGCAUGCCUGUCCGAGCGUCAUUGCUGCCCUCAAGCACGGCUUGUGUGUUGGGCCCCGUCCUCCGAUCCCGGGGGACGGGCCCGAAAGGCAGCGGCGGCACCGCGUCCGGUCCUCGAGCGUAUGGGGCUUUGUCACCCGCUCUGUAGGCCCGGCCGGCGCUUGACGAUCAACCCAAAUUUUUAUCCAGGUUGACCUCGGAUCAGGUAGGGAUACCCGCUGAACUUAAGCAUAUCAAUAAGCGGAGGA